AUUGAACGCUGGCGGAAUGCUUUACACAUGCAAGUCGAGCGGCAGCGCGGUCUUCGGACUGGCGGCGAGCGGCGAACGGGUGAGUAAUACAUCGGAACAUGCCCAGUCGUGGGGGAUAACACUUCGAAAGAAGUGCUAAUACCGCAUACGUCCUGAGGGAGAAAGCGGGGGAUCGCAAGACCUCGCGCGAUUGGAGUGGCCGAUGUCAGAUUAGCUAGUUGGUGGGGUAAAGGCCUACCAAGGCAACGAUCUGUAGCUGGUCUGAGAGGAUGAUCAGCCACACUGGGACUGAGACACGGCCCAGACUCCUACGGGAGGCAGCAGUGGGGAAUUUUGGACAAUGGGGGCAACCCUGAUCCAGCCAUUCCGCGUGAGUGAAGAAGGCCUUCGGGUUGUAAAGCUCUUUCGGCAGGACGAAACGGCGAGCUCUAACAUAGCUCGCUAAUGACGGUACCUGAAGAAGAAGCACCGGCUAACUACGUGCCAGCAGCCGCGGUAAUACGUAGGGUGCGAGCGUUAAUCGGAAUUACUGGGCGUAAAGCGUGCGCAGGCGGUUGUGUAAGACAGGUGUGAAAUCCCCGGGCUUAACCUGGGAACUGCGCUUGUGACUGCACGGCUAGAGUAUGGCAGAGGGGGGUGGAAUUCCACGUGUAGCAGUGAAAUGCGUAGAGAUGUGGAGGAACACCGAUGGCGAAAGGCAGCCCCCUGGGCCAAUACUGACGCUCAUGCACGAAAGCGUGGGGAGCAAACAGGAUUAGAUACCCUGUAGU
rnacentral:rRNA from 1 species